rnacentral:rRNA from 1 species
AUUGAACGCUGGCGGCAGGCUUAACACAUGCAAGUCGAACGAGCGGCGGACGGGUGAGUAAUGUAUGGGGAUCUGCCUGAUGGAGGGGGAUAACUACUGGAAACGGUAGCUAAUAACGCAUACCAUCAGAUGAACCCAUAUGGGAUUAGCUGGUUGGUAAGGUAACGGCUUACCUAGGCGACGAUCCCUAGCUGGUCUGAGAGGAUGAUCAGCCACACUGGGACUGAGAUACGGCCCAGACCCCUACGGGAGGCAGCAGUGGGGAAUAUUGUACAAUGGGCGCAAGCCUGAUGCAGCCAUGCCGCGUGUAUGAAGAAGGCCUUCGGGUUGUAAAGUACUUUCAGUCGGGAGGCGUUACUCUCAGAAGAAGCACCGGCUAACUCCGUGCCAGCAGCCGCGGUAAUUC